rnacentral:lncRNA from 1 species
AUGACUCUUGAAGCUACAAGAAGAGAGAAAGAAAGCAGAAGAAGGAAUAAUUAUUGCAUUUGUUACUCCACACAAGAAGAAAUUAAAUCUGCUCUGCUGAUAGUGUUUCUCAUAUCUUUACCUUAUCUGAGGCAAAUUGCUUGUCUUGAGUAUAUUCAUACAUCAAGAAUAAAAUGUUUUCAACUAAAUACAUCUGAAGAGCAAUGUGAUCAUAAAGGUAAGCCUGACACUAUGAUUGAAUGCAGACAUUAAGUUGUUGCCAAGAAGGAUGCAGAUAAGGUAUAGAUCAUCAAAAGGUGUGUGUCAUAAGGGAAAAAAAUAGUGAACAGAAUGAAAAGUGUUGUGGGUACGUGGCAGCUAGUGAUUAUUACAGAAAUGAAUUGUUUGCAAAAAGUUCCAAGUGUCAGUACACCUUGCAAGUUGUAAACUUUGGGUUUUAGGAAAGAACAAAGGUCAAAAGUGCACAGGCCCCUGGACAGAAGCUAGGUGAAGAUGGCACACUGUAUGGCAGGUUGAGUGAGCCAAGGGGCACAUAAUAAUUGGGGAUACAAUCCAUGGGUCAGAUGAUGUAGGUCCGUGUGAGUUAGGUGGAGAUUGAGAUUGAGAAUGUUUGGUCCUAUUACUUUCCACUAGUUGAGAGGAGCCCAGCACUCAAGAGCUGCUUUCAGCAACCCACAAUUUUAAUCCCAGUUACUCAGGAGGUAGAGAUCAGAGGAUGGCUGUUCCAGGCCAACCCAGCAGAAACUGCAAAACUGCAUCGCAACAGAAAAAGCAGGGUAUGGGUGGUGGCAUACACCUGUCAUCCCAACUUCUGCAGGAAAUACAAAUUAAGUCCAGCCUGGGCAAAAAUCAAGACCCUGCAAAAAUAGAGCAACUGGGCAUUGGUGGCUCACACCUGUAAUCCUAGCUACUCAAAAGGUAGAGAUCAGGAGACCCUAUUUUGAAAAUACUGGAUACAGAAAAGGGCUGGUGGAAUGGCUCUAAUGGUGGAGCAGUUUAGACAGGAAAAUGGUGCAUGCUUGGUAAGGGAAAAUCUGUUCUCAGUCUGACCUUUCAGGUAAAGCCCUCUACUUAAGACCUUAUGAAUACUUGUCACAUCUCAUAGAUGCAGUUAAAAAUCUGUGGAUCAGCAUAAAUACAGAAUGCUCCAUGUUAUUUAACAAGACCUUGUCAAUCAAACCUGUCAAUCAUCCUAACCCUUCCUGCAGACCUCCCAGGUUCUUCCCACUGUUUGCCCUUACAAUCUUUAACUUUCCCUUUUGAGCAGAGAUCCCUCCUUCUCUACUAUCUGGCCAGAUCCCAGUGCUCGCUCUUUUGCAGUGCCUGCACUUUCCUUUUCCUUUCAAUAAAACUCUACUACUGCUUUGCA